UCAAUUGGUUUGACGGUGAAGCUACAAAACUGUAGAAAUCAAUUCUCUUAAUUUUCAGAUUCAUCAGACUUCACAACAAUCAGCUAAUGAAUUCCUUGCUACGUUUUGUGUAUAGAGACUUGGGUAUAAUUAGAUUAUGUUAGUUUUCUUGAAUUCCUUGCUACGUUUCGGUUGUUUUUGCUUCUCCACUUCGUUGUUUGGUUAGCUUGGUUUAAAUAUAGCUUUGAGAAAUUUGAUUUGGGUUUGUGAAUUUUGAUUUGUUUUUAGAAUCCAAAUGAAAUGUCGAGAGAAGCUAUUACAAAAUUGGGAUCAUAUUGAUAAAAACUAUACCUGAAUCCAAAACUCCUUUAACCAAAACCAAAUAGUGACGAACGAAGGUCGGCCUCAAAACGAGUAGGACAGGUUUGGUUUUGUAGGCUUAUUUGCCAAAUUUGAGAUUUUCAGUUUUUGAUUUGAUGUCAUCGUAGGUUGCUGGGGUGGGAAAGACAAGAGAAGGGAUUCAAGAAUCAAGAUUGUGGUGGGCUUCGGGGGGAGGGUUUGGGUUUGUUUUCGGAGUGGUGGAUUCAAAAAGUUUGAUCGAGUUUGGGGGAUAAUUUUCAGCAGUAAAAAGGAGGGUAAGCAUUUGAGAGGAAGAUUUGAAUAAGGAGAUGAAGAAUUCGGUGUCAGAUCGCAGUUUUCACAUUAACCGUGAAGAAAAAGAUGAUGAGGAGAAGGACAACAAAGGCAUAAAAGAUGGGAAUGAUUCCGAUUCUUCGGGCUUGGAAGCCAAGCACCAAGAUGGGACAGUACGUGGAUUACAAAGGAAUCCCAGCUAAUAAAAAAUCACAGGAACAUGGAAAGCUGCCCUUUUAUCUUAGGGAAUGAACGUUGUGAAAUAUUGGCAUAUUAUGGGAUGAGCUCAAAUCUGGUCAUUUAUUUCAGGCAACAUCUGCACCAAAUCAAUUAUUUUAAUAUAUCAUGUGCUACUACGUAGCGGUCUUGGCAUUUGAUGACAUGGUUUCUUGGAUGCAAGAAGGGGACCAGGUAGGAAUAUUUGAUGCCACAAACAGUACUAAAAAUGGAGGAAUAUGCUCAUGAAAAUGUCUAAAGUGCAAUCCGAGUUGACAUGGAUGCUCUAGCUAUGCAGGAAUGACACCGUGUACACGUCAUCGAAAAAGACUUGACUGAGCCAAAUAGAAUUGUUGGUGAGUUGUUGCAGCCUGAGAGGGUUAUCUCAAAUAGAUUGAAUUGGGUCUUGAGGAUUGUGUAAAUGAGGCUGUUGAUGCUCAGAAGGUGUUUGAUUAUGAUAGCAAGGAUACUACACUAUCUUAUCCCUUGGAAAAAUACAGUCCAGAUGUGGCUUAAAGUUUGAAUAUAUCUUUGAUAAUGAUCAUUUCGUU